rnacentral:rRNA from 2 species
AGACCCGAAACCCGGUGAUCUAGCCAUGGGCAGGUUGAAGGUUGGGUAACACUAACUGGAGGACCGAACCGACUAAUGUUGAAAAAUUAGCGGAUGACCUGUGGCUGGGGGUGAAAGGCCAAUCAAACCGGGAGAUAGCUGGUUCUCCCCGAAAGCUAUUUAGGUAGCGCCUCGUGAAUUCAUCUCCGGGGGUAGAGCACUGUUUCGGCUAGGGGGCCAUCCCGGCUUACCAACCCGAUGCAAACUGCGAAUACCGGAGAAUGUUAUCACGGGAGACACACGGCGGGUGCUAACGUCCGUCGUGAAGAGGGAAACAACCCAGACCGCCAGCUAAGGUCCCAAAGUCAUGGUUAAGUGGGAAACGAUGUGGGAAGGCCCAGACAGCCAGGAUGUUGGCUUAGAAGCAGCCAUCAUUUAAAGAAAGCGUAAUAGCUCACUGGUCGAGUCGGCCUGCGCGGAAGAUGUAACGGGGCUAAACCAUGCACCGAAGCUGCGGCAGCGAACGUAUCACCCAAGACAACUUUACGGAGUUGACGAUUGACGGAGCGAAGCGACGUCAAAGCGUUCAUUAAAGUCGAGUUGGCUUAGGGAUACGUUCGUUGGGUAGGGGAGCGUUCUGUAAGCCUGUGAAGGUGUGUCGUGAGGCAUGCUGGAGGUAUCAGAAGUGCGAAUGCUGACAUAAGUAACGAUAAAGCGGGUGAAAAGCCCGCUCGCCGGAAGACCAAGGGUUCCUGUCCAACGUUAAUCGGGGCAGGGUGAGUCGACCCCUAAGGCGAGGCCGAAAGGCGUAGUCGAUGGGAAACGGGUUAAUAUUCCCGUACUUGGUGUUACUGCGAAGGGGGGACGGAGAAGGCUAUGUUGGC